CUAUACAUGCAGUCGAGCGGAAUGAAGAGAGCUUGCUCUCUGAUUUUAGCGGCGGACGGGUGAGUAACACGUGGGCAACCUGCCCUACAGUUGGGGAUAACUCCGGGAAACCGGGGCUAAUACCGAAUAAUCAGUUUGUCCGCAUGGACAAACUCUGAAAGACGGUUUCGGCUGUCACUGUAGGAUGGGCCCGCGGCGCAUUAGCUAGUUGGUGGGGUAAUGGCCUACCAAGGCGACGAUGCGUAGCCGACCUGAGAGGGUGAUCGGCCACACUGGGACUGAGACACGGCCCAGACUCCUACGGGAGGCAGCAGUAGGGAAUCUUCCACAAUGGACGAAAGUCUGAUGGAGCAAUGCCGCGUGAGCGAAGAAGGUUUUCGGAUCGUAAAGCUCUGUUGUAAGGGAAGAACACGUACGGGAGUAACUGCCCGUGCCAUGACGGUACCUUAUUAGAAAGCCACGGCUAACUACGUGCCAGCAGCCGGG
rnacentral:rRNA from 1 species